UAUCAUACAAUAUGUUUAUUUGGGAU
rnacentral:piRNA from 1 species